rnacentral:rRNA from 1 species
AAUCUAGAAGGCUAGUUUAUUGGAUUAACACAUGCAAGUAAAUUAUAAUUUCAGAAGACUGAAAAAGUGGGAGAAAUAAUAAUGCGUACGGGUGAGUAAAACAUUGGAAUCUACCUUAUUUUAAAGGAUAAGAAAAGGAACAAAAUAAAAAGAAAGUUCAAAAAAAAAACUUUAAACACAAAAAGUGGGAUAAGAGGGGCCAAUGGCAGAUUAGUUAUUGGAUAGAAGAAAAGACUAUCUAGACGAAGAUCUGUAGCUGAUAUGAAAGUAUGAUCAGCCACACUGAAACUGAGACACGGAUCAGAUUCGGAAUGACGAAGCAGCAGUGAUGAAUAUUGCGCAAUGUUCGAAAGAGUGACGCAGCCAAAUAAACAUAGAAAUAGAAAUAAGUGAAGAAAAUGACAUUAACUUAUUAAAAGGGCCACCUAAUUCACGUGCCAGCAGGUGCGGUUAAACGUGGGGCUCAAGUCUUUAGAGGUAUGAUUAGGGGUGUAAAGGGUGUGUAGGUGUAAUAGUAAGUAUAUAUUGAAAUAAACUAUAAAAAGGAGUAAAAGGUAUAUAAACUACUAUUAUAGAGUAUCUAAGAGGAUUACGGAAUGUCUAGUGUAGCGAUAGAAUGUGAGGAAACUAGAAGGAACACCAAAAGGCGAAGGCAGUAAUCUGGGAGAAGACUGACACUGAGACACGAAAGUAUGGGUAGCAAACAUGAUUAGAGACCAUGGUAGUCCAUACCGUAAACGAUGAAUGUUCAAUGUUGGGGUACUUAUCUCAGCAUUUUAGUUAACACGGUAAACAUUCCGCCUGGGAAGUACGAUCGCAAGGUUGAAACUUAAAAGAUCUGACGGGGAUUUGUCCACACGGUGGAGCAUGUUGUUUAAUGCGAUGAUCCGCGCAAAACCUUACCAGUUCUUGACAUGUACGUCAAAUUUUAUAUUUAAUCAUAUAAAAAAGUAUACAGGGUUGCAUGGCUGUCGUCAGGUUAUAUCGUGAGACUUUAGGUUAAUUCCUAAAAUAAGCGAGACCCUUUUCUUUAAUUGCUAGGUUUUUCUUAUCUAAAAACAAAAAGUACUUUAAAGAUAUAGUUGAUGUUUUAUUAUUAAACGUCAAAUGAAAGAAAGGAUUACGCCAAGUCCUCAUGACCCUUAUGAACUGGGCUACAGAUGUGCUACAAUGGGGAUAACAAAAAGAAGCGAUAACGUGAGUUUGAGCAAAUCUAUAAAUUUCCUCGUAAUAUGGAUUGUUCUCUGCAACUCGAGAACAUGAAGGUGGAAUCGUCAGUAAUCGUGAAUCAGAACGUCACGGUGAAAGAGUAAUCAAAUUCAGUACAUACCGCCCGUCACGCGCUGAAAGUUAGUUUCAGUUGAAGCUUUGUUUUUAUUUGUAUUAAUUGAAAAAUUAUUACAAUAAUAGGGGCGAUGCUGGGAUUAGUUAUU